rnacentral:lncRNA from 1 species
AUGAAAAAUAGUGAGCAUUUUCCCCAGGGUUUCUCAUCUGUCUGCUGGCUCCUAUCUGACAUUUCGACCUGCUCGCUUGCCAGACAAGGACCACCAUUUGGGAUUGAUCUCUGCACUGGCAGGGCAACACCAGCUCUACUGAAACAUCGCUUCACAGAAACACCGAGCUCUAAAAAAAAAAAAAAAAAAAAGUCCGGCCAGUAUUUACCGAGCAGCCUUAAAACCGAUGUGCACACACAGCGGUAUUUGUGUACCGAAGCGAGCUAUCUUGCACAUGCCCUGCUGAUUACACAAAGGCACGCUGCCCAGAGCAGCCCUCCGGACACACCGAGGCAGGGACGCGGCCACGUCCAUGUGGCACUUCUCCUUGGGGACGGCACCUGGAUCCCAGCCCCGGUCCGCAGCCCGGCCAUACGAGCAGAAGGCAGCGCUGAGCCCCACCUGCGAGGUGUCACCACCAGAACCAGCGGCUUGGGACUCAUUUUGGACUUAUUUCGGACUUAUUUUCAGGCCACAGCACGCAAACGCCUGGGCUGGGUGAAGGCAGCGAGCCUGGCGGUCCCGAAAGAAACCCAAAACCCACAAACCCGAACGCUUCUCCGCCGCUCCGCUCCAUCCCGCCGCGCUGCGAGGGGAGCCCGCGGGGGCAGACCCCGCGGACUGCAAACACGGGGAAGGGGGGGCGCGGGGGGCGGCUCGCCCCGGACCCCCACCGGCACUGACGUGGCAGCCGAGGCCGCGGCGGAGGCUCCGGACCGGGGCCCGCCCUCCCCGCGCCCCCCGCCCCGGAGGCGCCGCCGGUGCCCGUCAGAGCCCGGCCGAGCCCAGCCGCCUCUGCGCUUCCUGCCGGGGCUGGGGGGCAGCGCGUCCCCGCCGCCGCCUCCUCCUCCUCCUCCUCCUCAGCGGGGAGGCGCCCCCCUGCCCGCAGCUACCGGCGGCCCCCGCUCGCUCCGUCCCUCACUCACCGACCGAGCGCAGCGGGCGCGGCGCGGCCCGGCUCCGCCGCAGACUUUACUCCUGCGCCGUUCCCCGCUGCCGACGUGGCGCCCGCCCGCCGCCGCCGCCACCGCCCGCCCCGUCGGCGCCCGCAGACCCCGCCCCAGCGCCCGGCGCGGCCCCUCGGCGGCCGGGGGGCGCGCAGGCGCCGCCGACACCGACCCAGGCCCGGCCCGGUCCCCCACCCCCCCCCGGGCACCCCGCUCCGAGCACCCCCUGGGAAGGCCCGGGCCCCUUGGGCCGGCGGGAGCGGGGCCGGGGGACCGCCGAGGCGGGGGGAGGUCGCCCCGGGUGCCAAGAGGGGGGAGAAGGGAGCCCCAGUGGGUGCGGGCGGGUGGCCAAAAUGGCCGGUGA